AAAUUGCAUCCUAUUAGAGCAUAUUGUGAGGCCUGCACAAAAAUUCUAGAGAGAUUGUUAGUACAAAAAUAAAAAUAAAAAUAGAAAUUAGGGAUUGAAAAAUAAAAAUAAAGAUAAAAAUGGAAAAUUAACAUUGAGGGAAUAAAAUAAAAUAAAAUAAAGUCAAAAUCAAUCAAGAUUCACACAAAUAGAAUAACUUAAACCGUGAGUCCCCGGCAACGGUGCCAAAAACUUGUUGGGGCAAAUCGGCAAGUGCACCGAGUCGCACAAGUAAUAUAAAAUGGUAAGACCAAGUAUUGCAUCCUAGAGGACUCUCGGCG
rnacentral:lncRNA from 1 species